CAGGGUGUAGCUUAGUGGUAGAGUACGUGCUUAGCAUGCAUGAGGUUCUAGAUUCAAUCCCCAGCACCCUCA
rnacentral:tRNA from 1 species